UACGUAGGGUGCGAGCGUUAAUCGGAAUUACUGGGCGUAAAGCGUGCGCAGGCGGUUCGUGAUGUCUGGUGUGAAAGCCCCGGGCUUAACCUGGGAAUUGCAUUGGAAACUAGCGGGCUGGAGUGUGGCAGAGGGGGGUGGAAUUCCACGUGUAGCAGUGAAAUGCGUAGAGAUGUGGAGGAACACCGAUGGCGAAGGCAGCCCCCUGGGCUAACACUGACGCUCAUGCGCGAAAGCUAGGGGAGCAAACGGG
rnacentral:rRNA from 1 species